rnacentral:ncRNA from 2 species
CUACGGUGGGCGGGCCGUGGUGUUCGGGAAGUCGAUGGGAAGUCGACGCGGCCCUCGCCACUGUGAUCGGGGAGUUCCCGUUCCGUCCGGCUCGCGCCGGGCCACUGGUCGCAGGACCGGGAAGGCAGGAACGGCGGGCGUGUGCACCCGUCAGCCAGGAGACCGGCCACGGCACGUCACGAAGU